CAAACAAUCCUGCAGAGAGGAACUAUCGCGCGCCGUCUGCGCCUGGAGAUGUUAUAUAUACCCCGCGGCGGCCAAGGGAUUGGACCCCAGCCAGGGAGGGGGCGGAGCACGCGGAGCGGCACAACUGCGCGGGGAGGGGGAGAAGAAGAAAACGCUGCCCCCCCCCCGUCGGAGACGCUGCGCACAACGCAUGACAGCCCCCUUCCAUUGCACUCCUGGUUUUCUCAGGCCCGUGAAACCUCCUACUGCAGCCCAGUUUUAACUUUUUUCCUUUGGGAUGCCCAGAUUCAAAUCUCUUCCACCAAUAACACUUGCGCGAAAGAAAUGUCAAAUAAUAUUGGGGCACAGGCACCUUAAAGAUUAAUAGUGCUCUAAUCUAUGGAAGCUUUGCCAUAAGGUAUUUGGUAGGCUUUUAAGUUUCAGGUUUAUGGCGCCACCUAUAUGGGGUGUGUUCCUGCAACAGUGUGGUGUAGUGGUGAAUGCCAGGACUAGGGCCUGGUGGGAGGCCAGGGUUCAAAUCCCCACUCAGCCACAAAGCACACUGGAUAACCGUGGGCCAGCCACUAUCUCUUAGCCUAUCUUACCUCGCAGGGUUGUUGUGAGGAUAAAAUGUGGGGAGAAACCAGCCUUGAGGUCCUUUCAGGAAAGAGGGGGACAUACUGUACAUGUAAUUCUGAAUAAGAAAAAAGACUUGUUUCUGUCUGUGGAAGUUGUAUCUGCUGAAAUCACCUCACAACUAUGCAACUGUGAGACCAGAGGAGCACAUGUUCUCUUUUGAAUUUUUUGGUUCUCCGCCUUCUUCUGCUGUUGCUUUUAAAGCUAAACAACAACAACAAAAGAGUAGCGGAGCCAGCCCCCCAAGGUCACGACAGGAUGCCGUGACAGCCACCUGUUCGGAUGGCUUUAAAAGAGGACCGGCCAAAUUCAUGGCCAUCAGUGGCUCUGUUCUACCUCCUGUGCCAGAGGCAGGAAAUAUAAGAAAAGCAGGGCUUUCCUUAUAGUCUCAUGCAUGUAGGAUCAACAUCAGAGAGCAGCAGUCUUAGGCUCACAUCCAAGUAAGGGCCUGCAGCUGAACCCCAUGCCUUCCUUUGUCAAUUUUGGCAAGGAGGGGAAGCCUGCUUGAGGAGGCAGGCCCACUGGGGGCAUCUUGCCCAAGAGGUCUUCCCCAAGAAUAUGGAAGCAGUGAUGAAUCACAGCACAAUCCACUUUCAUCAGGUCAGUGUGGAGAGGGUAAAUUUCCUUUAAGACUGAAGUCUCCAAACAUGGCACCUGUAGGCACCCUGGCACCCUCAGGCAAGGCCCACUGCUCCUCUCAAUUUGUGUGUAAGGAGGCUUUUCAGUGCUGUUUUCAGGUGGUUGCCUGCUGUUUCUUUGUCUGUUUUUUAUUUGUUUUGGGGAGAGUUGGUCAUUGUCGCUCUUUCACAAAUAAGGUUCUGAAGCAUUGCCAGAUUUCGUUGUGUGGAAUGUGUGUUUUCUGCUGCCCAGAACAAUUCAUUGGGUUUUUUUCCUAAAUGUGCCCCCAAAAGGUUGUGCACUCCUGCUUUAAGAUAUGAUGAGCUGGAAGCCACCAAGGAGUGAGGAGGUGUGGCCAGCUGCAGAGAGGGCGUGGGAGAGAACAAGCUGGAAAAUCAGUCAAGGUGGAAGCCUCCUGUUUUAAAUCAUAAAAAAUGUCACUAGUUUACAACAGUUUCUAGCCUUCUAGAACAGUCUCUAACACCCAGUGGUCUACACAAGUGAAUACCAAUCCUACAUGGGCUUGGAUUCCCCCCCCCCCCCCAGUGCUUUAACAACUUUGUGACUAGGAGAAGUUCAGUGGGUGAAGUCUUUCCCCUAGCUUGGUGGGAAAGCGUUGACUUUCAUUUCUGCCUGGAAUGAAUAGGAAGCUACCUUAUACCUAGAUGGCCCCAUUGGCCCAUCUAGCUCAUGACUGGUCACACUGAUUGGCAGCAGCUCUCCAGGGUUUCAGGCCUGGGUUUCCCACUCCUCCUUGGAGAUGCAAGGGAUUGAAUCUGGGAACUUCUUCAUACUCAACCACUGAGCUACAAACCCUUACCCUGUUAAUUGGAAAUGUGUAUAGGAUUAACCUGCCUUUUCAGCCAAGGGCCGUGUUUGGAUGUUCUAAUGCAGGGAUCACCACCCAUGGGUGCCAUGCUUUCCUUGGUGCCCCUGGAAUGAAGCGCAACCCCAAAAUUCCCAGAUUUCAUGGUUUUUUACUAAAGUAAGUUUGUCAUUUUUGCAACCUAAGAUUUGAGGCAAAGCAUGCAAACACCAUUCUCAUUUUGUUUGUGAGAAAUUCGCCUGCUCCACCCUUUCAAUGUUUUAUUUUGCCCCACCCCAGGAAAAAUACCCACCCCAGGAAAAUAUCUGAGGGUGCUCAUGUGAGAGAGAGGGAAGGCUGCACUAGAAAGAAAGAGGGAUGGGGCGGGGAAAGUUAAAAGAAGUGGAAAUAAACGAUCUCUUUGUAGACUUUUGCUGUGCUUCUCAAUUAGCAGGCUUCUAAUUUUUUUACCCAAAUGCUCGCUUAGACACUUAAAUAUAUUAGUCUACCUGUAUUUAUGUUCUGACUGUUCUUCAAUUUCCUAUCCUCCAGGACUCUCACCACAAGAAUUCUGGCUGUGGACUUGGUCCUUUUUGAGCUUGUUCUGCGUUCGGAUUUAUUGGUAAGGGCGACUGGCUUUUUGAAUCAUGAGCUCAGAUUCCUCUUCUUUCAGAAACUUCCUCUGUAUGGUUGGGUUAGUCACAAAAGCACUGUGUAUCUGACUGUGGCUAUUUGCUCAACCACAACACAGGAAAGAAGAGCUAUGUGCCAUAAAUGUAACUGGCACAUCCCCAAGAUAACGGAUGUACACAUCAUAGCAUAUGGCUAAGUGGCCUGUGCCACAAACAGCACAUGUCACGUUAGGGGAGGCAUGGCGGAAAGGACUCCAGCAGCCCCCAUCUGCAAUGUCUUUUGGUGUGCUUCCAGAAGCCCUUCCCUGAGAUUUAAAGGGACUAUGUCAUACUUGGAUAAUUCCUUUCCUGUCAUCAUGAUAGUUAGGAACAGUAAUUGCAUUUCCUAGCCAGCCAUUGAAAUACCGCGAAGAGCAAUGCCUGUGAGGUGCCCUCUGAGCUGAUGCCAAGUCCAAUGUAUUUAUGGGGACAGAGGGGUUGGGAGACCAAGCAAUGUGUUUUGGGUCAUGGAGGAAACCAACUUCAGUGCAAUGUUGUGGAUAUUUCAUAGAUUCUCAUUGGCACUGUGAGAAUGACACAUGCUCCUGCCUUUCCAGUUUGAUUCAAGGUGGAGUGUUUGUUGCAAACUUACAGCGCCUUGCCGCUCAUCCUGAUUUGGCCACAGCACAAUGGCUUGCUGCUGAGAUGGGAAGGAAAGGAGAAGCAGAUUCCAAACUAAUGCAAAUGUCAGAGACGCUUGGAAGACUUGUCAGCCAUGGAAAGAGCUAUGAUCGGAGCAAGCCUGGCAGGGAGGUUCAUGUUCCCAGCAGUUGCUGGAAAACAGAAUUCAUCAGUGGAUGAACUAUAGCAUUAUCUCCUAUUGUGGCCAGGAUGCUGCCCAACCAUGCCUACUUAGGAGUAAACCCUACUGAAUUCAGUGAGGCUUACUCCCAGGUAAGUGGGAUUAGGAUUGGGGCCUUAGCCAUCACCAGCAGUGAAGGACUUGCAGGUGCCGGAGAACUUUAAUUGCCUGCCAGACUAGCUGUGACAUCCAGUGGUGGAAGAGCCACUGUUGCCUCUCAGAAACAAGCCCCAGUGAUAGUUGGGGUCAUCUUAUGGUUCCCUGCUCCAGAUUCCAAUAACUCCAGAGCAGUUAUGGGUAGUGCCUGAAUUUAAACUUUACUUUUGCUAUUGUCCUAAAAGUAUUAUAAGGUGGGAUUUUUGUUUUGUUUUAAGUAUGAAUAACCUACUAAGGGGCUGGCCCACCCAUUCGAUAAACUGAGCACAGUAAAUGGCUUAUAGGCAACUAUGCAGCUAGCUGCCAGCUGCAACUCAUGACUACGCAUGGCCUUUUGAUACUUCGGCUGGUUGUUCUGGUUCUUCCUAUAAAGGGGGAAAUAACUGCUUUUAUAGUUAUACUGUUGUUAGGAGGGAUGUUUGGUGUGGGCUGCUGGUAACCAGCGUUAUGAAACAUUAACACAAAACACCCAAGACUUGAGAUGGAAUCAGCAAGUAAAAGUAAAUAAAGUUUCUUUUAACCACCUACUUAGUAAAAAGUUUUUGAUCUGAUAACAGUAGAAAGUAUGUAUGUCAUAGGAGC